rnacentral:rRNA from 1 species
GUGGGGAAUCUUCCGCAAUGGACGAAAGUCUGACGGAGCAACGCCGCGUGAGUGAUGAAGGUCUUCGGAUUGUAAAGCUCUGUUAAUCGGGACGAAAGAGCCUAGUGUGAAUAAUGCUAGGAAGUGACGGUACCGGAAUAGAAAGCCACGGCUAACUACGUGCCAGCAGCCGCGGUAAUACGUAGGUGGCAAGCGUUGUCCGGAAUUAUUGGGCGUAAAGCGCGCGCAGGCGGAUCUGCCAGUCUGUCUUAAAAGUUCGGGGCUUAACCCCGUGAUGGGAAGGAAACUACAGAUCUAGAGUAUCGGAGAGGAAAGUGGAAUUCCUAGUGUAGCGGUGAAAUGCGUAGAUAUUAGGAAGAACACCAGUGGCGAAGGCGACUUUCUGGACGAAAACUGACGCUGAGGCGCGAAAGCCAGGGGAGCGAACGGGAUUAGAAACCCGUGUAGUCC